rnacentral:tRNA from 1 species
GGUAUCAUUGCAGAGUGGUAAUGCGCAGAACUGUUAAUUCUUUUUUCAGAGGUUCGAUUCCUCUUGAUACCU